GGUACACGCUGUGACUAGCAUAUCAAUAAGCGGAGGAAAAGAAACUAACAAGGAUUCCCCUAGUAACGGCGAGUGAAGCGGGAAGAGCUCAAAUUUGAAAUCUUAAAGGUUUUACCUUGACGAAUUGUAGUUUAAAGAAGUGUUUUCUGUUGAAGUUUUGGUAAAAGUUCUUUGGAAUAGGACAUCAUAGAGGGUGAGAAUCCCGUAUUUGACCUUUACUUUCAACUUUGUGAUACACUUUCAAAGAGUCGGAUUGUUUGGGAAUGCAGUCCAAAAUGGGUGGUAAAUUUCAUCUAAAGCUAAAUAUUGGCGAGAGACCGAUAGCGAACAAGUACCGUGAGGGAAAGAUGAAAAGAACUUUGAAAAGAGAGUUAAACAGUACGUGAAAUUGUCAAAAGGGAAGCGUUUGACACCAGUGUUGUUUUUCUGAAAAUCAAUUAAAGAACUGUUUAUGCUAAGUUGUUUAGACUUUAUCAGCUAACUGUUUAGUUUUGAGCUUUUCUUUAAUGCACUUUUCAGGUUAACAAGUCAACAUCAAUUUCUUUUGCUGUAAAAAAGCUUGAGGAAGGUGGCUUGAGAUUCGUCUUAAGUGUUUAUAGCCUCUUGCCUAUGCAGUCGGAGAGAUUGAGGUCUGCAGCGUAGAUCCUUCGGGGCUAAAUGCAUUUGUGCUAAGUUAUAGCAUUUUAUAGACAACUUGUUGACUAUGAUUUGUCUUGUAGCUUACUCGCUUAUGUUAUUUUACCUACGCUUAGGAUGUUGAAGUCAUCGUAUCGCGC
rnacentral:rRNA from 1 species